ACACAACACAGGUGUCAGACAAAUCGUAAAAGUGAGCAUUGCUGGUGGUAGUGUGGUGUUUGUAAAAGUGAUAGGCACAUCUCGAAGUGGAAAAGGGAGGAGGCGACAAGGUAGGUGCUAGUGUUGCACAAUUCG
ensembl:ncRNA E01H11.6 ncRNA